AUACGUAGGGGGCGAGCGUUGUCCGGAAUGAUUGGGCGUAAAGGGCGCGUAGGCGGCCCGGUAAGUCUGGAGUGAAAGUCCUGUUUUUAAGCUGGGAAUUGCUUUGGAUACUGUCGGGCUUGAGUGCAGGAGAGGUAAGUGGAAUUCCCAGUGUAGCGGUGAAAUGCGUAGAGAUUGGGAGGAACACCAGUGGCGAAGGCGACUUACUGGACUGUAACUGACGCUGAGGCGCGAAAGUGUGGGGAGCAAACAGGAUUAGAUACCCUGGUAGUCCACACUGUAAACGAUGAAUGCUAGGUGUAGGGGGUAUCGACCCCUUCUGUGCCGCAGUCAACACAAUAAGCAUUCCGCCUGGGGAGUACGGCCGCAAGGUUGAAACUCAAAUGAAUUGACGGGG
rnacentral:rRNA from 1 species